CUGAAUCUUCGAAUUGGAUCCGGCUUAUUAUUUUUUGCAGACUGUUAGAGCAAUUUUAUAAAAGAGUAACAGCUGCAAAAAGAUAUGUCUACUUUUAUGAAGAACAAUGAAAAUGCAAAGAAUCAAAAAGAAAUACUUAUUAUUUUCUUUCAAGCACGACUUUGUACCAAAAUGAAAUGAAAGAUGUGCAUUUCUCUCAUUCUGCCCCCUUCCUCCUACUGCUCGAAAACAUGAUAAUGUGGACUGCUCUGACCGAUAUGAAAGAAAUGCUCACAGUGACUGCUGCAACUAGAUCUGUACUUCUUACACCAUAUCCUAUUAAAAAUAUUUAAUAUCAA